UGGUUCUGGCAUCGAUGAAGAACGCAGCGAAAUGCGAUAAGUAAUGUGAAUUGCAGAAUUCAGUGAAUCAUCGAAUCUUUGAACGCAUAUUGCGCCCUUUGGUAUUCCUUAGGGCACACCUGUUCGAGCGUCAUUACACCAAUCAAGCCUCGCUUGGUAUUGGGCGAUGCGGCGGCCUUCGCGCCCCCGCACGCCUCAAAUUCGACCGGCCGAGCCGUCUCGUCUCUCAGCGUUGUGGAAACUAUUCGCUCUGGGAUUUGGUGGCCCGCACGCCGUCUAAACCUAUCAAUUUACCAAGGUUGACCUCGGAUCAGGUGGGGAUACCCGCUGA
rnacentral:misc_RNA from 1 species